rnacentral:rRNA from 1 species
AGUCGAACGGAAACGAUACUAGCUUGCUAGUAGGCGUCGAGUGGCGGACGGGUGAGUAACGCGUAGGAAUCUGCCUGAUAGUGGGGGAUAGCCCGAAGAAAUUCGGAUUAAUACCGCAUAAUCUAUUCGUAGUAAAGUGGGGGACUUUCGAGCCUCACGCUAUCAGAUGAGCCUGCGUAAGAUUAGCUUGUUGGUAGGGUAAAAGCCUACCAAGGCGACGAUCUUUAGCUGGUCUGAGAGGAUGAUCAGCCACAUCGGGACUGAGACACGGCCCGAACUCCUACGGGAGGCAGCAGUGGGGAAUAUUGGACAAUGGGGGCAACCCUGAUCCAGCAAUACCGCGUGUGUGAAGAAGGCCUGAGGGUUGUAAAGCACUUUCAAUUGUGAAGAAAAGUUAGCGGUUAAUAACCGUUAGCCUUGACGUUAACUUUAGAAGAAGCACCGGCUAACUCCGUGCCAGCAGCCGCGGUAAUACGGAGGGUGCAAGCGUUAAUCGGAAUUACUGGGCGUAAAGCGUGCGUAGGCGGUUUAUUAAGUCAGAUGUGAAAGCCCCGGGCUUAACCUGGGAACUGCAUUUGAAACUGGUCAACUAGAGUAUGGUAGAGGAAAGUGGAAUUUCUGGUGUAGCGGUGAAAUGCGUAGAUAUCAGAAGGAACAUCAAUGGCGAAGGCAGCUUUCUGGACCAAUACUGACGCUGAGGUACGAAAGCGUGGGUAGCAAACAGGAUUAGAUACCCUGGUAGUCCACGCCGUAAACGAUGAUAACUAGCCGUUGGGGGGAUUUACCCUUUAGUGGCGAAGCUAACGCGUUAAGUUAUCCGCCUGGGGAGUACGGCCGCAAGGUUAAAACUCAAAGGAAUUGACGGGGGCCCGCACAAGCGGUGGAGCAUGUGGUUUAAUUCGA